GAUGAACGCUGGCGGCGUGCCUAAUACAUGCAAGUCGAGCGAACAGACGAGGAGCUUGCUCCUCUGACGUUAGCGGCGGACGGGUGAGUAACACGUGGAUAACCUACCUAUAAGACUGGGAUAACUUCGGGAAACCGGAGCUAAUACCGGAUAAUAUAUUGAACCGCAUGGUUCAAUAGUGAAAGACGGUUUUGCUGUCACUUAUAGAUGGAUCCGCGCCGCAUUAGCUAGUUGGUAAGGUAACGGCUUACCAAGGCAACGAUGCGUAGCCGACCUGAGAGGGGGAUCGGCCACACUGGAACUGAGACACGGACCAGACUCCUACGGGAGGCAGCAGUAGGGAAUCGUGCGCAAUGGGCGAAAGCUUGACGGAGCAACGGCGCGUGAGUGAUGAAGGUCUUCGGAUCGUAAAACUCUGUUAUUAGGGAAGAACAAAUGUGUAAGUAACUAUGCACGUCUUGACGGUACCUAAGCAGAAAGCCACGGCUAACUACGU
rnacentral:rRNA from 1 species